GAGUCGCGAACGGGUGAGUAACGCGUAGGUAACCUAGCUUAUAGCGGGGGAUAACUAUUGGAAACGAUAGCUAAUACCGCAUAAAAGUGGUUGACCCAUGUUAACCAUUUAAAAGGAGCAACAGCUCCACUAUGAGAUGGACCUGCGUUGUAUUAGCUAGUUGGUAGGGUAAAGGCCUACCAAGGCGACGAUACAUAGCCGACCUGAGAGGGUGAACGGCCACACUGGGACUGAGACACGGCCCAGACUCCUACGGGAGGCAGCAGUAGGGAAUCUUCGGCAAUGGGGGGAACCCUGACCGAGCAACGCCGCGUGAGUGAAGAAGGUUUUCGGAUCGUAAAGCUCUGUUGUUAGAGAAGAACAGUGAUGGGAGUGGAAAGUCCAUCAUGUGACGGUAACUAACCAGAAAGGGACGGCUAACUACGUGCCAGCAGCCGCGGUAAUACGUAGGUCCCGAGCGUUGUCCGGAUUUAUUGGGCGUAAAGCGAGCGCAGGCGGUUUGAUAAGUCUGAAGUUAAAGGCAGUGGCUUAACCAUUGUAUGCUUUGGAAACUGUUAAACUUGAGUGCAGAAGGGGAGAGUGGAAUUCCAUGUGUAGCGGUGAAAUGCGUAGAUAUAUGGAGGAACACCGGUGGCGAAAGCGGCUCUCUGGUCUGUAACUGACGCUGAGGCUCGAAAGCGUGGGGAGCAAACAGGAUUUAGAUACCCUGGUAGUCCACGCCGUAAAACGCUGAGUGCUAGGUGUUAGGCCCUUUCCCGGGGCUUAGUGCCGGAGCUAACGCAUUAAGCACUCCGCCUGGGGAGUACGACCGCAAGGUUGAAACUCAAAGGAAUUGACGGGGGCCCGCACAAGCGGUGGAGCAUGUGGUUUAAUUCGAAGCAACGCGAAGAACCUUACCAGGUCUUGACAUCCCGAUGCUAUUCUUAGAGAUAAGAAGUUACUUCGGUACAUUGGAGACAGGUGGUGCAUGGUUGUCGUCAGCUCGUGUCGUGAGAUGUUGGGUUAAGUCCCGCAACGAGCGCAACCCUUAUUGUUAGUUGCCAUCAUUAAGUUGGGCACUCUAGCGAGACUGCCGGUAAUAAACCGGAGGAAGGUGGGGAUGACGUCAAAUCAUCAUGCCCCUUAUGACCUGGGCUACACACGUGCUACAAUGGUUGGUACAACGAGUCGCAAGCCGGUGACGGCAAGCUAAUCUCUGAAAGCCAAUCUCAGUUCGGAUUGUAGGCUGCAACUCGCCUACAUGAAGUCGGAAUCGCUAGUAAUCGCGGAUCAGCACGCCGCGGUGAAUACGUUCCCGGGCCUUGUACACACCGCCCGUCACACCACGAGAGUUUGUAACACCCGAAGUCGGUGAGGUAACCGUUAAGGAGCCAGCCGCCU
rnacentral:rRNA from 1 species